AAUAGCCUAACGGCUGAACCAGCAACUUGGAAGAAUGUAUAGCUAAGCUAAAUGUUUUUUUUUUACAUUUUUUGUAAGAAACAUAUUCGAUUUACUCGUAUAAAGUUCUAGGUAGAAUUAUGAUAAUGACAUUAUCUAUCUAUAAGUCUUGACCAACAUGCGUGCCAGCAGUCGCGGCAAGACGCUAAAGACUAGUGUUAUUCAUUUUAAUAGGUUUAAAGGGUACCUAGACGGUAAAUUAAGCCUUAAUCGGUACUAAUUUAACUAGAGUUAAAUGUAAGGGUGCAUUAACGUACUAUUGAGUGUAGAGAUGAAAUUCUGUCAUACCAGAUUAUUGGCACGGGUUUAGGCGAAAGCAUCACUUUAUGUAAUAACUGACGUUGAGGGACGAAGGCUUUGUAUCGCUAAAAGGAUUAGAUACCCUCGUAGUCUAAGCAGACAAUGAUGAAUGUCAUAGGUUAAAUAUUGUUUAGUCUAUAAAUGAAAGUGUAAGCAUUCCACCUCAAGAGUAAUUUGGCAACAUUGGAAUUGAAAUCAUUAGACCGUUUCUGAAACCAGUAGUGAAGUAUGUUGUUUAAUUAGAUGGUCCACAAAAAACCUUACCACAACUUGAAUAUUUUACAAGCGUUGCACGGCUGUCUUCAGUUAAUGUCGUGAGAUUUUGGUUAGUUCCAUUAAUUAACGUAAACCCUUGCUUUAUUUUUAUAUAAAGUAGUUCGCCGCUAUAUUGGUUAGAUAAAAGGGAGUAAGACAAGUCAUCAUGGCCUAAAUGUUGU
rnacentral:rRNA from 1 species